rnacentral:rRNA from 1 species
GGAGGGUGCAAGCGUUAUCCGGAUUCACUGGGUUUAAAGGGUGCGUAGGUGGGCUAGUAAGUCAGUGGUGAAAUCUCCGGGCUUAACCCGGAAACUGCCAUUGAUACUAUUAGUCUUAAAUGUCGUGGAGGUAAGCGGAAUAUGUCAUGUAGCGGUGAAAUGCUUAGAUAUGACAUAGAACACCGAUAGCGUAGGCAGCUUGCUACACGAAUAUUGACACUGAGGCACGAAAGCGUGGGGAUCAAACAGGAUUAGAUACCCUGGUAGUCCACGCCCUAAACGAUGGAUACUCGACAUCAGCGAUACACUGUUGGUGUCUGAGCGAAAGCAUUAAGUAUCCCACCUGGGAAGUACGACCGCAAGG